GACGAACGCUGGCGGCGUGCUUAACACAUGCAAGUCGAACGGAAAGGCCCUGCUUUUGUGGGGUGCUCGAGUGGCGAACGGGUGAGUAACACGUGAGUAACCUGCCCUUGACUUUGGGAUAACUUCAGGAAACUGGGGCUAAUACCGGAUAGGAGCUCCUGCUGCAUGGUGGGGGUUGGAAAGUUUCGGCGGUUGGGGAUGGACUCGCGGCUUAUCAGCUUGUUGGUGGGGUAGUGGCUUACCAAGGCUUUGACGGGUAGUCGGCCUGAGAGGGUGACCGGCCACAUUGGGACUGAGAUACGGCCCAGACUCCUACGGGAGGCAGCAGUGGGGAAUAUUGCACAAUGGGCGGAAGCCUGAUGCAGCAACGCCGCGUGCGGGAUGACGGCCUUCGGGUUGUAAACCGCUUUCGCCUGUGACGAAGCGUGAGUGACGGUAAUAGUUAAAGAAGCACCGGCUAACUACG
rnacentral:rRNA from 1 species